CCUACGGGCGGCAGCAGUGAGGAAUAUUGGUCAAUGGGCGCGAGCCUGAACCAGCCAAGUAGCGUGAAGGAUGACUGCCCUCCGGGUUGUAACCUUCUUUUAUAAAGGAAUAAAGUGAGGCACGUGUGCCUCUUUGUAUGUACUUUAUGAAUAAGGAUCGGCUAACUCCGUUCCAGCAGCCUCGGUAAUCCGGAGGAUCCGAGCGUUAUCCGGAUUUAUUGGGUUUAAAGGGAGCGUAGAUGGGUUGUUAAGUCAGGUGUGAAAGUUUGCGGCUCAACCGUAAAAUUGCAAUUGAUACUGGCAGUCUUGAGUACAGGUGAGGUAGGCGGAAUUCGUGGUGUAGCGGUGAAAUGCGUAGAUAUCACGAAGAACUCCGAUUGCGAAGGCAGCUUACUAAACUGCCACUGACAUUGAGGCUCGAAAGUGUGGGUAUCAAACAGGAUUAGAUACCCGUGUAGUC
rnacentral:rRNA from 1 species